rnacentral:rRNA from 1 species
CCUACGGGUGGCAGCAGUGAGGAAUAUUGGUCAAUGGGCGUAAGCCUGAUCCAGCCAAGUCGCGUGAGGGAUGAAGGUUCUAUGGAUCGUAAACCUCUUUUAUAAGGGAGUAAAGUGUGGGGCGUGUCCUAUUUUGUAUGUACCUUAUUAAUAAGGAUCGGCUAACUCCGUGCCAGCAGCCGCGGUAAUACGGAGGAUCCGAGCGUUAUCCGGAUUUAUUGGGUUUAAAGGGUGCGUAGGCGGCCUUUUAAGUCAGCGGUGAAAGUCUGUGGCUCAACCAUAGAAUUGCCGUUGAAACUGGGGGGCUUGAGUAUGGUUGAGGCAGGCGGAAUGCGUGGUGUAGCGGUGAAAUGCUUAGAUAUCGCGCAGAACCCCGAUGGCGAAGGCAGCCUGCCAGGCCAUGACUGACGCUGAUGCACGAAAGCGUGGGGAUCAAACAGGAUUAGAUACCCGUGUAGUC